GGGAGCGUAGCUCAGGGGUAGAGCGCUCACCUUAUAAGUGAGUGGUCGCGGGUUCGAACCCCGCCGUUCCCACCA
rnacentral:tRNA from 1 species